AACGCUGGCGGUCUGCUUAACACAUGCAAGUCGAACGCAACCUUCGGGUUGAGUGGCGGACGGGUGAGUAACGCGUGAGAAUCUGCCUUGGGGUCGGGGACAACCACUGGAAAAGGUGGCUAAUACCGGAUAAGCCUUUGGGUAAAAAAUUUAUUGCCCCAAGAGGAGCUCGCGUCUGAUUAGCUAGUUGGUGAGGUAAAAGCUCACCAAGGCAGCGAUCAGUAGCUGGUCUGAGAGGACGAUCAGCCACACUGGGACUGAGACACGGCCCAGACUCCUACGGGAGGCAGCAGUGGGGAAUUUUCCGCAAUGGGCGAAAGCCUGACGGAGCAAGACCGCGUGAGGGAGGAAGGCUCUUGGGUUGUAAACCUCUUUUCUCAGGGAAGAAGCUCUGACGGUACCUGAGGAAUCAGCCUCGGCUAACUCCGUGCCAGCAGCCGCGGUAAUACGGAGGAGGCAAGCGUUAUCCGGAAUUAUUGGGCGUAAAGCGUCCGCAGGUGGCGAUUCAAGUCUGCUGUCAAAGCACGGGGCUUAACUCCGUUAAGGCAGUGGAAACUGAAUAGCUAGAGUGCCGUAGGGGUAGAGGGAAUUCCCGGUGUAGCGGUGAAAUGCGUAGAGAUCGGGAAGAACAUCGGUGGCGAAAGCGCUCUACUGGACGGCAACUGACACUCAGGGACGAAAGCUAGGGGAGCGAAUGGGAUUAGAUACCCCAGUAGUCCUAGCUGUAAACGAUGGAUACUAGGUGUAGCUUGUAUCGACCCGAGCUGUGCCGAAAGCUAACGCGUUAAGUAUCCCGCCUGGGGAGUGCGCACGCAAGUGUGAAACUUCAAAGGAAUUGACGGGGGGCCCGCACAACGCGGUGGAAUAUGUGGUAAAUGCAGACGCCACGCGGAGCACCUUAACAGCGCUACACAUCUCCGGUAUCCCGGUGAAAGCUGAGAGCGCCUUCGGGACCCGAAACACAGGUGGCACAUGGCUGUCCACAGCUCGUCUCGUGAGAUGGUGGUAAAAGUCCCGCAACGAGCGCAACCCUCGUCUUAAGUGGCCAGCAUUAAGUUGGCCAUUCUAGAGAGACUGCCGGUGACAAACCCGGAGGAAGGUGGGGAUGACGUCAAGUCAGCAUGCCCCUUACGCUCUGGGCGACACACGUACUACAAUGGUCGGGACAGAGGGCAG
rnacentral:rRNA from 1 species